rnacentral:rRNA from 1 species
GAUGAACGCUGGCGGCGUGCCUAAUACAUGCAAGUCGAGCGAACAGAUGAGGAGCUUGCUCCUCUGACGUUAGCGGCGGACGGGUGAGUAACACGUGGAUAACCUACCUAUAAGACUGGGAUAACUUCGGGAAACCGGAGCUAAUACCGGAUAAUAUAUUGAACCGCAUGGUUCAAUAGUGAAAGACGGUUUUGCUGUCACUUAUAGAUGGAUCCGCGCCGCAUUAGCUAGUUGGUAAGGUAACGGCUUACCAAGGCAACGAUGCGUAGCCGACCUGAGAGAGUGGUAGGCCACACGGGAACUGAGACACGGUCCAGACGACUGCGGGAGGCAGCAGUAGGGAAUCUUCCGCAAUGGGCGAAAGCCUGACGGAGCAACGGCGCGUGAGUGAUGAAGGUCUUCGGAUCGUAAAACUCUGUUAUUAGGGAAGAACAAAUGUGUAAGUAACUAUGCACGUCUUGACGGUACCUAAUCAGAAAGCCACGGCUAACUACGUG